CGGGGGCUGCCCGCCGGUGCUGCCCGUCAGGUCGGGAAACUACCCUGAGGAGUGGAGGGCUCGUGCAGGUCCCUGCCCUAACCACCAGCAGCAGGUCCGGCCCGAAGCUGACCUUCGUUCCAGAAUGCGGAAGGCCCGGGGCGCCUCCAUCUUGGCGGAGAGAAAGAGCUCCAGGAACGUCGAGAAGGAAUAAAAAGAGAGAAGAGACCACUGAGGACGCAGCAAGAACACAGCUGUCCACAAGCCAGGAAGGUGGUCCUCCACCAGGAACCCAAUUGCCAGCACCCUGAUCUUGGACUUCCCAGGCUCCAGAACUGUCCCCUCUCUCAGCACCUCCAUUUUUCAUCUGUAAAAUGGGGACAACGUCAGCACAUCUCUCAGUAAAGGUGGUCAUGUUGUAGAAGUGAGAGAUUCAUGGAUGCUUAGGACACAGCCUGGUACACUACAGAGCUCACCGGAAGAGCAUUCGGGUGCAGAACAGCAAGUGCAAAUGCCCAGGAGCAGGAUGGAAUAGAAUGGACCAUAGACAUGCAUAAAGGAUCAGCCAACAAGGGUCCCAGUGCAGAGCCGCAGCCUGGAUCUCAACCCUGUGUGAGGGGGACUACCAUCCCCAAAAUCCCCCAAGAGGAAGACUGUACCCAACCCUGUCCAAGGACCCUGUUUCCCGAGGACGUGGCCAUCCACACGGCCGGCUGUUCACACACAUCAGGAUGACUUCCUCAAAGCAGAAUCUCUAGCUCUUGUCAGAUUCCUGUUUUUAAGUCUCUGGAUUGGUUGCCGCCCCACCCCCGCCGGGCCCUGCGCUCCAGGAACUCAGGGCUGGAUUCGGCCGGGCCCCCGAGGAGGCCUGGGAAGAGGCAUCAGGGAGGUCCGCACUCCGGUCCCAGGGCAACCAGGUGGCAUCAUGGGGACUCCUCGAGACAAGCGCUUGGCUGCUCAGAGCCCGGAACUCGAUGCUGCCCGGAUACCGUUGCUGGAACAAAGGACGUCCAGGGCACCAAGAUGGAACCCUCCCCAAGCCGGGGGACCGUGGGACCCAAUGUGUGACCGAGCGUGGGACAAAGUGGGGUCCCCAGCAUCCCCUACCCUCUCUUAAAAGUGUUAGAAAGUCAAGGAAGAAGACUAACGGCUCCCUCGUAUCAGAGCCUCCUCCUCUUCCUCCGCCUCCAGGAACUCCAGUUCUUCCCCCGAUGUACAUCCAAGGCCCCCCGGGGGCUCAGCCGGGUGAGUACCUCUACCCCCCUCCCCUCCUCGUUUUCCUGGGCUCAGGCUCAGACCACCCUGACCACUCGCCAGGACUCUGCCCCAACAGCACCUCCUCUGAAAGCCCUUCUCCACGGACCCCACUGCUGUGUGACCCCCAAGCUGACUGGUGCUGCCCCAUCUCUGAUGGGAAAUCAGUGGUGGAGGGGGCUGGUCCAUGGUGGGCGCUCAGGGAAGGCUUUGGGAGUGAAAUCCUGGUGAAAGCCCAUUCCCUACUCCGCCAUGCACCACCCCCAACGGGAGGAGGGGAAGGCAGCCCCCAGCCCCCGCCACCCAGGUUCACAAGGGUGCCAGGGAACUGAGGACACUUCAGAGGUCUCCAAGGGUCGAGCGCUGCAGGGCUGGGCUGUACGUUGCCAGUGGGCAGGAUGAAGAAGACCCCCCUCAUAGCCGGAGAGACCAUUGGGGACGCCCAUAAAAGCCACACAGUUCUUGCCUUAGCUCCCUGCUCACCCAGGGAGUCUGCACCCCUGCCUGCCAAGGUUCUGGGGCUCCAGAUCCCUACUCCCCCUCACCCCCGACCCCAAAGGGAUUGGCACACCCCAAGGCCAUAAGCUCCAGACAGCCUAUCCAGACCAGACCCCGAGCCCUCGGCCAGAACAUAAAGCUCGCUGGGACUGUUUUAACAAACUCAGCCACCACCAGAGUCCUCCUUUCUCCGCACACCCAAGAUGGUAGAAAUGGCUGUGGUGUUUAAAUAGCUAAACACAUGUUUUGGCCCCACUGUGCAAAUGCAAGAGGAAGACACGAGAACACCAACAGGUGGGUUCUCGGUUUUGUUGCUUUCCCACCAUGCUUCACCAAGGUGUCGGAGCUUUUUACCCAGGGCGGGGAUUCGGCCCUGUCAUGGACACCCCAGGAAGGGGACAGACGAGCACGCUAUCCUGGAGGGCUCGCUGAUUUGUAGGGGCCCAGUUCCAACCCAGAGAUGCUCCCCAAUUCCCUGGGUGUCCUGGCCAGGGGAGACAGGGUGUCUUGACGGAGGGAGGCCCCUGGGUCCUAAAGGCUAGUGGCAGUGGGUGGUGGGAAAUGGGAUUGUGAGGGGAAGUCGGAGCUCCACCCCCCAGGGGGACCUGACGCGCAGGGGAGCACAGAGAACACACAGUAGGGCCCAGCCAGUGGUGGACACCGGGAGGGCGGGGAGGGGGCCAAGGUCUGAGCUGCCAUCCCCCGCUGCCAGCGGUGUUCACCAGCUUGCCUAGGAUGGGGUCUGCCACCCCCAUACGGUCCGUAUGUCGCUACUGUGGGAACUACAUCAUCACAGUGACCAGCCCGGUCCCAGGGGUCCUCACCUGGCUAUUGUGUACCAGCCUCUUUGUGUUUGGGUGCGUCCUGGGAUGCUGCUUCCUCCCCUUCUGUGUGGACAGUUUGAUGGACGUGAAGCACACGUGCCCCGUGUGCCGGCAAGAGCUCUUCCGCUACCAUCGCCUGUGAACGUCUGCGAAAUAAAUGUCCAUUAAGUGCC